UUGGCAUAGGUCCACAUAGAAAGUAUUGGAGCUAUUGCUUUGUGAAAAAAACCGUAGAGACUUGUUAGCUGUAGUAGAUUAAAAGUCCAAUAGUAGCAGUGAAGUUCAUGCGGAAAUUUUAUGGAGAUAAGGUCCCUCUCACAGAUAUGAAUCGGAAUGUUUUGAUUUGAAAUGCACGUAUGGUUGUGGCAAAUUUCUGUAGAAGAAGAGCUUCGAAGGAGCAAACAUGAUUUAGUUGUUUCCAUUGCAAUGUUUGUAAUCCAAAAGAAAGUGCUAUAUUCGGUGUGGAAAUAAUAAUGAUCAGAAAUUUCUGGUUGAUGA